GACGAACGCUGGCGGCGUGCUUAACACAUGCAAGUCGAACGGAAAGGCCCUGCUUUUGUGGGGUGCUCGAGUGGCGAACGGGUGAGUAACACGAGAGUAACCUGCCCUUGACGUUGGGAUAACGUCAGGAAACCGGGGCUAAUACCGGAUAUGAGCUUCUGCUGCAUGGUGGGGGUUGGAAAGUUGAGGCGGUGGUGGAUGGACGCGCGGAUUAUGAUCUUGUUGGUGGGGUAGUGGCAUACCAAGGCUUUGACGGGUAGCCGGCCUGAGAGGGUGGCCGGCGACAUUGGGACUGAGAUACGGAGCAGAGGGCUACGGGAGGCAGCAGUGGGGAGUAUGGCACAGUGGGCGGGAGCGUGAUGCAGCAGCGUCGGGUUCGGGAUGAGGGCCUGCGGGGUGUAAAACGAUUUCGGCUAUGACGAAGCGUGAAUGACGGUAACGGAUAAAGAAGCACCGGCUAACUACGUG
rnacentral:rRNA from 1 species